CCGGGUUACCAGGAAACAUGGAAACGUUCUUGGUGACCAGCAGAGCCAGGUGACCGGCCGUGGUUUCCCGGACCAGCUCUGGAGGAGACCAAAGAGAUGGCCAGACGGCCUAUUGUGAAGAUAAGGAGCCGUCAAGGAAAAUGAUCAGAAGUCCAGCCCCUGUAAGGAGCAUCUUCCGUGCACCAAGCAGUGUAAUGCUUACAAGGGCCUAUGAGUGAUUCCAGUACGAGGUCAAUUGUGUGAUACUAUGUCAUCCUGGGCAGAUGUCUCAAACUAUUAGAACCUCAGUGUCUCCAUCUGAAAACUGGGGGUUCUGGCCUCAUCGUGUAGUGAUGGUAUGUGGUGUGAGGAUCAAGAAAAGCAUUUUCGAACAAUGACACUGUCUUCAAAUGGAAGAUGCUGCCUCAGUAGGUAGAGAGAGCCCUGUCCCUUCAGUGCGCCAGCAAAGGUACACUCAGAUGGGCCGCUGCUAAAGGACUUCAAGAAGCAGAUGAAAGAUUAUCCUGAAUGACCUGCCGAAUCCCUUGCAAUCUUGUGGGAGGUCUGCGAUGAAAUGAAAUGAGAUAAAUGGAGGUUAAGUUGCCCUAAAAGCUAAUAGGUGUGACAUAUGCGAAUUGCCCAUUUGGCCAGGUCACCUCCCUACUUAAAAUCCUUCAGGGUUUCCCCCAUUUUUUAUAAAGUAAAGCUCCAGUUUCCUGGUGCCAAAACCCAGGCGUCCAGGACUGGCCCUAGCCUAGGUCUCCAGCCUCAUGUCCCCACCUCCUGGAAGCCAGAAUGGCGCCUCGGAAACUGGUUUCUGUGACAGGACCUCCUGUUUCACCCCGCUGGUCGUGUAUGCACACACCCUCCAGAGGUGUGUGCUCCAGAAGCUCUGAAUGCUUACAGCUACUGGUACCCCUACACGCGUGCGCGCGCACACACAGCUCUGGGUCCCCUCUACUUUGGCCAUGCUGUUCCCACUGCCUGGAGUGCCCUUCCCCCUCCUACUUUCCUAGGUAGUCUCUACCACUCAGCACGUAAAGUGGGAAGGAGUGAUGAGAAAGCGUGUAUAAGGCACUCCCACAGCAUCUCCUCUUCCCCGACCCUCUGGGACUGGAUCGCAGCCUCCAUAACCCCCAGGCUUUGCUUUAUCGCCACCCCUACUGCUCUGCGUUUCAAGUCUGUUGACAAGUAUGGUGACCAGCUCCAAAGAGCUCCUUCAGAACAAAAACCAUUAGUUAUUUAUCUUUGUUAUUUAUCCCUGCCCCCAGAACCCUGGACAGUAGCUAACACAUAGACAUCCAGGAAGUAGUAAAUGAAUUAGUAGAUUUUAAAGAAAAAGGAAAGGAAAGUAUCGUUAUCUUAAAGGAAAUCAGACACCGCUCAUACUUCUUGAGUUGGAGUGACAAGAGAAAGGUGAAUUAUAAGAAAGUGAGUUGACAGGCAAGCCCUGUGGCCUCCCUCCCACAAGGCCCCUUGUCCACGUUUCAACUACCCUGCCAGGCCUGUUUCCCAGAACCCGGCCCUCCAUGCCCCCCCCGCUCCCCCAGAACAGGAUCCUCCCUGAUCCCCUUACUUACUUGUCCCGAAGGACGACCCCCUCGAUGCAGGCCCCAAACAGAACAACGGAGCUGAUGUCUGCAGCGGAGGAUGAAGGAGAAUCCCCAG